CAUAAAAACAAUCAUCGCUUUUCUUUAACUAUACAGAUUAGUAUUUAUCAAAAGCACUCCACAGCUAAAACCAAAACCCUUCCCACGUUCUACGACUUCUACCUCUUCCUUCCUUCUCCCACCACGAUUUAAACGGUUAAGGAUCUAUUCCCAAUCGAAUUCAAGAGUUUAAUCCCAAUCCGAAUUCAAAAUUUUAAUCCCAAUCCAACUCGACUCAAAGCGAAAUUUCUCAAAUCCAAAUUUACAGAUUUCACUUCAAUCUAAAUCCAGAUAUUUUCUUAUUUAUCUUCUUCUCCAUCGAAUGCUUCUCGGCGGAGAUUAAUAUCUGGCGAACAUUUUUCCCGGCUUCUUGUGGUUGAAUUAUCAAUUGGUUUUCCACCAUUACCGAUUUAGGAGUUUGUUCAGCAUCUAACACCUUCUCAAUCGAGUGUCCUGCACAAGGUAUUACGGCUUGCUCGGAAACUAUGAGAUUUUCUUCUUGUUGGAAUCCAUACUGUCCAGACUGUCAGUUGCUUCAGGAAGCACAUUUUGGUGAGACAAACACAGGAAAUCAGAUUGCAGAGCAGCCUCAUGCAUUAUACGAAGUACUAAACAAAACACAAGCUUUUUGAUUGGAAGGGAUAGUAUGUAGGAUGAUUGCCGCACUCCUAGCGAGAUUGGCCAACGGUCACAUGACAACAUAUAGCUCAACAUAAUAAAAAGUGUCCUCGGCAAAAGAAUGUCAUGGAUUCUGGAUAUUAUGUCAUGAGAUACAUGAAGAUUACUUUCAUGAUUGCAAUGUUCCGAAUUAUGAUCAAGGACAAAUUGAUGAAGUCAGAGCUCAAUGGACGCGUCAUGUUCUUCUCGUGUGAAUAUUGCGAUGCAUAAUUAUGUUUUUCGACUAGAAUUUCUCUAGAACGUUUUAAUUUAAUUUUAUUGGUUUGAAAUUAAAAGAAGUACUAUAUGAAAACGAUACUUCUUUCUGUUUUCUAGUGUGUUUUUAUUGUACUGUGUAUUUAGGCAUAUAUGAUUUUAAGUUAUGUACGAGACAUCGAGACGUUUAUUUGAUAUGAUAGAAAUGAAGUUGGAUCUUAUAUAUAUUCAAUUUGAUUA